AGAGCGCAUCGCGAAGUGACAGGUGCCGCUGACAGCGAGAAAAUCUGGCAUAAACGUCACGCGCUGGUAUAAACGCGUUCGACCGGUAAGUUCGGUUUAUCUGACAGAAGCGAAAGGGGAAAGCAAGCUGCCGCUAAGUUUGUUAUGGUUGCGAGAAGUUGCCGUAAACAAAAAUAGCAGGUGAUGAAGCGAGUGUCUGCAAGGGAAAGGAUUCUACAAACUCAGCUGAAAGUCAACAUUCUUGGUUUGAACGCAGAAUAAAGAAUACCAAAUAAAACUAUCCAAUCGGAUGUCAUCAGCCUCGAUGACAUCAAGUUGUCGUGGUUGAGUGGAUGCGGAUUCUGCCCACUAAGUGGAACGUCGAGGGUUCAACUCCCGGUUUCGAAGUUUUGAGUUUUGUUAUCUGUCGGUAACUGUUUGAUAUUAUGAUUAGGGAUAGUUUUUACUAGAUUUUGAAGUGUAAAUAUUAUUCUUAUUGGAAAGUGAUUAUAAUUUUU